rnacentral:snoRNA from 1 species
CAGAAUGAUGGAAAACAGGAGCUGAACCUGACUGAGCAGAAAACGAAGACGUAAAAGGUCGGCCUGCACUUGAAGAAUCUGGAA